AGAGAGCAGGCUGGGCAGA
rnacentral:misc_RNA from 1 species